CAAUAGCGUAUAUUAAAGUUGUUGCGGUUAAAAAGCUCGUAGUUGGAUUUCGGGGCAGCCUGGCUGGUCCGCCGCAAGGCGAGUACUGGUCAGCCGCCCUUCCUCUCGAAAGCCCCGACUGCUCUUCGUUGCAGUGGUCGGGUAGUUCGGGACGUUUACUUUGAAAAAAUUAGAGUGUUCAAGGCAGGCCUACGCCUGAAUACAUUAGCAUGGAAUAAUGGAAGAGGACCUCGGUCCUAUUUUGUUGGUUUCCAGGGCCGAAGUAAUGAUUAAGAGGGACAGUUGGGGGCAUUCGUAUUUAAUUGUCAGAGGUGAAAUUCUCGGAUUUAUGAAAGACGAACAACUGCGAAAGCAUUUGCCAAGGAUGUUUUCAUUAA
rnacentral:rRNA from 1 species